GUUAAAUCUAUGCGCUCAACGUAUAGGCUGCCGAAAAUACUGCAGAACUAGGGAGUGGGAGAGGUAGACGGUACUCGGUAGGAAGGGGUAAAAUCCUUUGAUCUAUUGAUGACCACCUGUGGCGAAGGCGGUCUACCAGAACACGUUCGACGGUGAGGGAUGAAAGCUGGGGGAGCAAACCGGAUUAGAUACCCGGGUAGUCCCAGCUGUAAACGAUGCAGACUCGAUGAUGCAUUGGCAUAUAGCCAGUGCAGUGUCGCAGGGAAGCCGUUAAGUCUGCCGCCUGGGAAGUACGUACGCAAGUAUGAAACUUAAAGGAAUUGGCGGGGGAGCACCACAAGGGGUGAAGCCUGCGGUUCAAUUGGAGUCAACGCCAGAAAUCUUACCCGGAGAGACAGCAGAAUGAAGGUCAAGCUGAAGACUUUACCAGACAAGCUGAGAGGUGGUGCAUGGCCGUCGCCAGCUCGUGCCGUGAGAUGUCCUGUUAAGUCAGGUAACGAGCGAGAUCCCUGCCUCUAGUUGCCACCAUUACUCUCAGGAGUAGUGGGGCGAAUUAGCGGGACCGCCGCAGUUAAUGCGGAGGAAGGAAGGGGCCACGGCAGGUCAGUAUGCCCCGAAACUCUGGGGCCACACGCGGGCUGCAAUGGUAGCGACAAUGAGUUCCAAAAUCGAAAGAUAGAGGUAAUCCCUAAACGCUACCACAGUUGUGAUUGAGGGCU
rnacentral:rRNA from 1 species